GUUUUCUCUCCCAGAAUAUCUUUCUCUUUUCUAUGCAACUCCAUCAUGAUCAUGGAGUUUCUCUCAUAGAUUUGUUAUGCAGCUCCUUCUUUGAGCCUAAUUUGAUCUUGUUGUCUCUGAGGUUCGAGAAGCAGUUCUGCAAGCCAAUCGGUGUCCAUGAAGAAGAAGGUCGUGAAGUUGAUGACCAAACCAUUGCGUCGGUGUGGAAAAUGUGUCCCCAUGACUCUAGAAAUUGUGGCAGACAAUAGUUCGUUUCGAAAUACUUGAAGAUUGUGUUAAUUCGUUUCGAAGUACUUGAACAUUGUGGUCAUAUUUAUUUUUAACUUACCAGCUUGCAGUUUAAGUCCAUCAAUAUUACUUUAUUGAAUUUGUUCAUGAUUAGUUUAUUGAACGAUUGCAGAUUUGUUCUCGCAGUAUUGCUUACUAUUGCUUUGUGA